rnacentral:rRNA from 1 species
AAAGGAAUUGACGGGGACCCGCACAAGCGGUGGAUGAUGUGGAUUAAUUCGAUGCAACGCGAAAAACCUUACCUACCCUUGACAUGUCUGGAAGAUUCAAGAGAUUGAAUUGUGCUCGCAAGAGAACCGGAACACAGGUGCUGCAUGGCUGUCGUCAGCUCGUGUCGUGAGAUGUUGGGUUAAGUCCCGCAACGAGCGCAACCCUUGCCAUUAGUUGCUACAUUCAGUUGGGCACUCUAAUGGGACUGCCGGUGACAAACCGGAGGAAGGUGGGGAUGACGUCAAGUCCUCAUGGCCCUUAUGGGUAGGGCUUCACACGUCAUACAAUGGUCGGGACAGAGGGUUGCCAAGCCGCGAGGCGGAGCCAAUCUCAGAAACCCGAUCGUAGUCCGGAUCGCAGUCUGCAACUCGACUGCGUGAAGUCGGAAUCGCUAGUAAUCGCGGAUCAGCAUGUCGCGGUGAAUACGUUCCCGGGUCUUGUACACACCGCCCGU